CUGCAGCCGGACUUGAGCGGAAAUCCUUUUUUGCUGGUUCUUAAUUUCUAUUUGUGUGAAAAUUACUGCAAAAAAGAUUGGGAGCGGAAGGCGGAUAUAGC
rnacentral:sRNA from 1 species